rnacentral:rRNA from 1 species
GACGUAGGGCGCGAGCGUUGUCCGGAUUUAUUGGGCGUAAAGAGCUCGUAGGCGGCUUGUCGCGUCGAAUGUGAAAUCCCGUGGCUCAACUGCGGGUCUGCAUUCGAUACGGGCAGGCUAGAGUUCGGUAGGGGAGACUGGAAUUCCUGGUGUAGCGGUGAAAUGCGCAGAUAUCAGGAGGAACACCGGUGGCGAAGGCGGGUCUCUGGGGCCGAUACUGACGUG